UAAAAACUGCUGUGCACGAGUUGUUAAAUGUGAGGCAGCCUUCUCCAAUGAAACUUCAUUCUCUGGCAGAUGUGGCAGUAGCAGUUCAGAAAUCCCAAUGUUCCCCCAUAUGCACAUUGAGAGGCCGUUUGUCUCCCUGCAGUAGAGCUCAGAGUACACACCGUCGAGAAGGAGUGUCUGGACCCCAGAGUGGGAUGUGGUCCAAACACAUACACACCUUUAGGAAGGUUGAGGUAACCUUGAGGGAUUGGAGAACCAGAUUAUCACAUGCUGAUGCUGCUUCAUUGUAUGUCUAAAUCCUCAUCUAGCCGAGCUCGCACAGCGCUGUCAGCUCACGUCUAUGUCUUACAGCCGCCCAUCACCUGGGGCUUAGGGUGACUCUGGUAACUUGAUUUUUGCAAGAGAUGUAUUUAUUCUGCUGGGAAAUAUCAUCAUUUUUCUUUAUUCUCUCUGACAUUCUUUCCAUUAUAUUCUGAGUUUGCCCAUAGGACAGAAAUAAAUAGCUCAGUCUUCUUUAAAAACAAAGUGAGAAUUGAAUAAAUUUAGAAGCAGCUUGGUGCUCCUAAUGCUGAUCAAAGAGUGUCUUUGAUCAAUUUAUUCAGUCCCCUCUCUUCCUAAAGGAGACUGGGUAUUUAUUUUGGUUCAUGGAAAGAGCUCUUGGCAUCAUGGAUGGAGCCAGAAUAAUUAAGAGUAAUAGUUGGGCAUAACUAUAGCUGAGCAAAGACAUGACUGGAAAUCUGAUUUACUCUGUUUUUUAAGGUAAAAGCAACAGCCCUAUACAGACAAAUUAUAUUUGUAACUUAAGACUUUAACGUUUAAAAAUCCUACUCCGGUGUAAAUUAAUUGUGUGCUUGUGUUUCUGAGGGAGGUGGUCUCAGUGUAGAGGUCUUCAGCGUUUUUCUGUUUUAUUUUCACAGGGCAGGAGUUGUCCUUCUCAGGAAACACUGGCUCUCAGCUGCCUGUCAAAAUGGAGAGUUCUUUCAAGCAGCAAUUUCACGGUGAAACCCUUUUGGUCUAGAAGGAUCAGAGCAUUCUUACAGGGGGUGGAAUUCAAGAGUACUCAAAGCACCUUCUAGUCUUUCUGUCCCUCCUUAGCUUUUGUAGAAGCUUAAGGACUCUGCUGCUGCCUUGAACUUUCCCCAGGUGCACUUCUGACCCCGUGACUUGGGCCUCUCCUAGGUUGGAUCACCCAGGUGGUAAAGACGUUGGUCAGGGAGAGAAAACUAAUAGCCUCACCCACCUCUGACUCUGACUUAAGUACUAGACAUUUCCUGAUCCCAGCCUGCUACUCAACAGUUGUAGGCAUGAGCUAAAGAAAACAGAUAACAUGGGAUAGCUCCAGGUUUAGGUGAACGAAGUUUUAGGAUGCAAAUAAUGCCAGAAAGGGUUAGGAAUAGAAUUAGCUAAAGAUAGAAAAGGCUAGAAGACUGGUGGCCAAGCAUUACAAUUUUAAGUACCUACCUGUGUGGCAGGUAGAGUUCUAAGUAGACCCCACGAUUCCUGCCCUCGAGAGCUCAUGUGCUCUCUCAGUUAUUCAGUCAAGCACUAAUCUAGGGACUGCUGUGAACGGAUUUUGAAGAUAUAAUUAAGGUCCCAAAUUAGCUGACUUUAAGAGAGGGAGAUUAUUUGGGUGACUCUGACCUAAUCGCAUGAGUCCUUUAAAUCCAGGUCUAGAGCCAGAGACAGAGAAGUCAGAGAGACUGGAAGCUGGAGAAGGAUUUGAUGUGAGGGAGGUUCUCCAUGGAUUGCAUUAAAGAUGGAAGCGGCCACGUGGCAAGGAAUGCAGGCAGUCUCCAAGAGCUGAGAGCAGCCCCUGGCUGGCAGCGGGCCGGGAGCAAGGCCCUCAGCCCUAUGGGAACACGGAAAUGAAUUCUGCCAACAACCUCAAUGAGCCCGGAAGCAGAUUUUUCCCGAGCCUCCAGGCGAGAAUCCAGCCUGGCAGACAUCGUAACUUCAGCCUGCAAUACCCUGAGCAGAGAACUCAGUGUGGCCACUCUAGACUUCGACCCACAGGACUGUGAACUAACAGGUGAUUAUCGCUGAGCUAACGUGUGCCAAUCUUCCUCUAUUUUGUAUGUGGGAUGCUGCCACAGCAUGGCUUGAUGAAUGGUGUGUAUGUCCGUGCCUGGGAUCUGAACCCGUGAACCCCAGGCCGCUGAAGCGGAGAGCACAAACUUAACCGUUAUGCUACUGGGCCGGCCCCCUAUUUUACACUCUUAAUUUGAAAACUUGCUUUCUAUUAAUGAAAUGUUUCCAAAAGGUUAAUGCUCAUUUGAAGAUAAGUGCUUCUCUGAAGAGCCUUGUGAAAAGGCAACACACAUUUUCAUUCCUGUUUGCAAAAGUUGAUCAGACUCCAGAAGACGGCCUGAAAACUGCUUAGAAUGAAUUUUCAUUUUAUUCUGGGAAAUAAUGGUAACUGUCCCUACUAGAGAAGCAGAAGGUGACAUUUUAUAGAAGGCAGUUUACUUAAUGAAGUAUUACCUAAGUGGAAAUAUUUCAGGAAAUGUUUAAAACAGCUUUAUUGAGGUAUAAUUGACAGACAAUAAAUGGUGCAUGUUUAAAAGGAAUAAUUUUAAAGAUAUUAUACUUCUAGAUAAAUUCCUUUAUCAGAUAUGUGAUUUGCAAUGUUUUCUCACAUUUGUGGCUUGUCUUUUCAUUUUCUUAACAGUAUCUUUGAAAGAGCACAUUUUAAUUUUGAUGAAGUCUAAUUUAUCAGUUUUCUGUUAUGGAUUGUUACUUUUGCCUCUGUGCCUAAGAAACCUUUGCCCAUCCCAAGGUCACAAAGAUUUUUGUCCUAUAUUUUCAUCUUUUUUUUUUUUUACAGUUGUAGCCUUUAUAUUUUUGUUCAUGAUCCAUUUUGAGUUAAUUUGUAUGUAAGAUGUGAGGUAUAAAUUGAAGUUAAAUUUUUGUAUAUGGACAUCCAAUUUUUCCAUCACUAUUUGUUGAAGAGACUGUCCUUUCUCUACUAAAUUGUCUUUGCAACUUUGUUGAAAAUCAAUUGUCCAUAUAUGUGUGGGUAUAUUUCUGGAAUCUCCAUUCUGUUCGAUUGCGUUAUUUUUCUGUCUUUACAGCAAUACCACACUGUCUUGAUUACUCUAGAUGUAUAAGAAGACUUGAAAUCAGGUGGUAUUAUUUCUCCAACUUUGUUUUUUCCAAGUUGUUUUGACUAUUUCCAUACCUCAUGGUCCUUUGCAUGCCCAUGAGGAUUUUAGAAUCAGUUUGCCAGUUUCUACCAAAAAGCCCACUGAGAUGUGGAUUGAGAUUGUAUUGAAUCUAUAGGUGAAUUUGAGAGAAUGGACAUCGUAACAAUAUCAAGUCCUUUGACUCAUCAACAUGGUGUAUUUCUCCAUUUAAAUUUUUCUCAGCACUAUUUUGUAGUGUUUAGAUAUUGCAGUAUUUUAUCAGAUGUUUACCUGAGUAUGUCAAAUAUUUGUGAUUAUUAUAAAUUGUAUUGUUAUAAAAUUUCAAUUUUCAAUUGCUUG